rnacentral:rRNA from 1 species
AUACGGAGGGCGCAAGCGUUGUUCGGAAUUACUGGGCGUAAAGCGCGUGUAGGCGGCUUGGCAAGUCGGUUGUGAAAUCCCGGGGCUCAACCCCGGAACUGCAUCCGAAACUGUCUCGCUAGAGUCCCGGAGAGGAAGGCAGAAUUCCCAGUGUAGGGGUGAAAUCCGUAGAUAUUGGGAGGAAUACCAGUGGCGAAGGCGGCCUUCUGGACGGUGACUGACGCUCAGACGCGAAAGCGUGGGGAGCAAACAGGAUUAGAAACCCCAGUAGUCC